CUGUGGGAGAGGCAGUGCCUGAGCUGGGUCAGCUGCUGUGGGUCGCUCCCGCCUCCUGGCUGGAGGCACCAAAGAGGAGGAGAAGGGGGAGGAGGACGUCUCUGCCAUCGGCCUUAAGAAGGCUCUGGAAAAACGAGUGAGACGAGGAUGGAGAAGACCAAGUUUCGCUUCUUGGCCCCAGGCUGUUGCGCAGUUCCCCUGGAAUCUUUUUGAUCGAUUGUUACGUUGCCCAUGUCCUUGCCAGUGUCCCUAGCAGAAGUGAUGGCCAGAGAGAUAACUUUUGCACAUGUCAUGUUUUUGUGGCGAAAAUUUUAGUUUCAAGUUCCUUAUGAAGGCAGUUACCUAGUUUUAAAUUUUGUCACCUGUUGAGAGUGUACAAAAUCCCAUCUACAGUCAUAGUCGUUGGAAAUAUUUUCUUUUCUGAAAUAUAUCCAGAGGAAACAUAACCUUAUUCCUGUUCUUUAAUAUUUCUUGGUUUUAUACCAAGAAGCACUGUUCGGAAGACCAUGUUAGUGCUACAUUAUACACAGUGAGAAGCGAGCAAGUUUUUUGAUUAAAGGCAGCACUGUAAUUUUAAGUUGUGAUCUAUUACUUUUAUUCUGGAUAUGACGUGAUACUCUACAUUUGAUUUAGCAUGUUUUGUGGACUUCAUGGAAUAAGAGCAUGAUAAAAGCUAUUUGUUUCACCUCCAUAUACCAUGUUUACAGAUGUGGCUAAUCUUCAAAUACCUAACCAAAUUUAGACACUCAGGGAAGGUCAAUUAAGUUCGUGUAAAGUCUGAAUUGUUGACAGAAAGCUUACUUCAAAAAAAUAAAAUAAAUAAAUAAAUAAAAAGGCUGAGCGCGGUAGCUCAUGCCUGUAAUCCCAGCACUUUGGGAGGCCAAGGCUUGUGGAUCACUUGAGGUCAGGAGUUCGAGACCAGCCUGGCCAACAUGGUGAAACCCGGUCUUAAAAAAAAAAAAAUUAAAUUACUUUCACAUGUACAACUUCUUGUAGGACUUUGUAUGAUUGAUUAGAGUGAAUCGAUUUUAAAAAUUGUAACCCAGCCUGGAUUAGAUGCUGUAUUUUGGAAAUUUGCUAGAUUUACUCUUCUCCAAUAAAAUGCUGAAAAGUAUUGAUACCGUAA